GAAAUGCGAUAAGUAGUGUGAAUUGCAGAAUUCAGUGAAUCAUCGAAUCUUUGAACGCACAUUGCGCCCCUUGGUAUUCCAUGGGGCAUGCCUGUUCGAGCGUCAUCUACACCCUCAAGCUCUGCUUGGUGUUGGGCGUCUGUCCCGCCCCCGCGCGUGGACUCGCCCCAAAUCCAUUGGCAGCGUUCCUUGCCCCCUCUCGCGCAGCACAUUGCGCUUCUCGAGGGCGGCUCCGGGACGCGAUCCAGCAAGAUGACCACCGUCUUUGACCUCGGAUCAGGUAGGGAUACCUGCUGAACUUAAGC
rnacentral:misc_RNA from 1 species